GUGGGGAAUAUUGGGCAAUGGGCGCAAGCCUGACCCAGCAACGCCGCGUGAAGGAAGAAGGCUUUCGGGUUGUAAACUUCUUUUGUCAGGGACGAAGCAAGUGACGGUACCUGACGAAUAAGCCACGGCUAACUACGUGCCAGCAGCCGCGGUAAUACGUAGGUGGCAAGCGUUAUCCGGAUUUACUGGGUGUAAAGGGCGUGUAGGCGGGAAAGCAAGUCAGAUGUGAAAACUGUGGGCUCAACCCAUAGCUUGCAUUUGAAACUGUUUUUCUUGAGUACUGGAGAGGCAGAUGGAAUUCCUAGUGUAGCGGUGAAAUGCGUAGAUAUUAGGAGGAACACCAGUGGCGAAGGCGAUCUGCUGGACAGCAACUGACGCUGAGGCGCGAAAGCGUAGGGAGCAAACAGGAUUAGAAACCCUGGUAGUCC
rnacentral:rRNA from 1 species